AGGAUGAACGCUGGCGGUCUGCUUAACACAUGCAAGUCGAACGGGCGUAGCAAUACGUUAGUGGCGGACGGGUGAGUAACGCGUGAGAAUCUACCUUCAGGACGGAGACAACAGUUGGAAACGACUGCUAACCCCCGAUGUACUGAAAAGGCAAAUAUUUAUAGCCUGAAGAAGAGCUCGCGUCCGAUUAGCUAGUUGGAGAGGUAAAAGCUCACCAAGGCGACGAUCGGUAGCUGGUCUGAGAGGACGAUCAGCCACACUGGGACUGAGACACGGCCCAGACUCCUACGGGAGGCAGCAGUGGGAAUUUUCCGCAAUGGGCGAAAGCCUGACGGAGCAAGACCGCGUGGGGGAAGAAGGCUCUUGGGUUGUAAACCCCUUUUCUCUGGGAAGAAGUUGUGAAAGCAGCCUGACGGUACCAGAGGAAUCAGCAUCGGCUAACUCCGUGCCAGCAGCCGC
rnacentral:rRNA from 1 species